UAUUAAUAAGAGAAGACAGCUAUAUAGGUGCGUAACAAUGUCAGGAGGCGCCGUUGCAAAGGGCAGCCAUCAUCAUCAUCAGCAGCAGCCAAACGUAAACAAACCAAGCCUGACACUCGUGCUGGACGCCGCCCACGGGACCCCGCCACCCAGCGCCCUUUCCCUCCCACUGGUGACGUGCCCUUCUAGCUGCUGGCCCAUCACUGCCCCUGAAGUCAUCAGUGGAUGGCAGACAUGAGUGAAGCAGUCCUCUGGCUGCCACAGCAGGUUGGGGACCUGUAACAAGGACACUACUCCAAUGGAACCAGACUUGGACGGUGCCAGGGAGACCAACGCUGUGUGAGUGUCCCAGUGGCUUACUGUGCUGCGCCAAGGUGUUGAGAAGUAACGUGGAGGUUGAGCCGCUGGACCCACCACCUAUCGGCAAGUGUUCCAGGAGGCAAGAAGGAGUGACUCUACACCAUGGAACUUUGACAGACCUCCUCCUCCUGCCUUCAAGUCUGGCCAAGAUGUGUGAAGAAGAAGAGGAAGAAGAGGAAGAAGAGGAAGGCUCAGGAGGAAGGAAAGUCCCUCACUGCAUUGAGACUCAAGGGAAGGAGCCGAGAUGAGACCAGACUCAGCCCUCCAGUGAGCCCAGGUGACCACCAGGGGGACACCCACGCACCUCAUGGCUUAGGGGAAAAUGCAUGAAGGUGGUGGGUGAGUGAAGCAAUGCACCCCCUGUGUAUGCUCAGGUCCCAGGCUACGUCAGGAAGGGAGACAGAGACGAGACCACUGAGCCGAGGGAACCAGUCAGGCCUUCAAGAUGCUGCCUGGAUGCUGGGGGAGACGAGACGAGACGAGUCCUGUUGGGGAGAAGAUGGAGGGAGAUUGAUUGAAGGGCAGAGAUGAGAGAGAGAUGGAACUAACUCUCUCUCUCUGUAUUUCUAUAAAGAGAAGACUAAUAAAGUUUGGAAAUAUAUA